CAGCCUAGACGUCAAGAGCAAAACUCCAACUCGAAAAAAAAAAAAGAAAGAAAAAAAAUCCCUUAAAUCUACUCUAUGCCUUUUAACCUCAGGGACUUCGCUAUGCUGUUCCUCACCCUGAACUGAGCUAUUCCUCAUUUCUCCAUCUGGUUAACUCAUCCCACCCACGAGGUUUCUCCUUAAGUAUCAUCUCUUUAAGGAAGAUUUUACCUUUUUAAUGUAACUAUUAACACAUAAUUCAGGUACCAUAUGAUUUGCCCACUGAAAGUGAACAAAUCAAUGGUUUCAGUGCAUUCACAGAGCUCAGCAACCACCAUCAUGAUCAAUUUUAAAACAUUUUCAUUACCCCGAAAAGAAACCCUAUAUCCAUUAGCAAGUACCUGCCAUUUCCUCCUCCCACUAAGCCCUGGCAAUCUACUUUUUUUGAGAUAGAGUCUCUGUCACAGGCUGGAGUUCAGUGGCACAAUCUUGGUUCACUACAACCUCCGCCUCCUGGGUUCAAUCACUUCUCCUGCCUCAGCCUCCUAAGUAGCUAGGAUUACAGGUGUGUGCCACCAUGCCCAGCUAAUUUUUGUAUUUUUAGUAGAGACAGGAUUUCUGUCUUCAUAGAUUUGCCUGUUCUGGACAUUUCAUAUAAAUGGAAUCAUAUAACAUAUGACCUUUUGUGACUGGUUUCUUCCACUUAGUAUAAUAUUCUCACGGUCCAUCCAUGUUGUAGCACGUGUUAGUACUUCAUUCCUUUUGAGGACUGAAUAAUAUUCCAUUGCACGGUCAAGCCAUGUUCUAUUUCUCACUCAUCAGUAGACAAACAUUUGUGUUGUUUUCACUUUAGUGCUAUUAUGAAUAAUGCUGCUAUGAGCAUUUGCAUACAAGUUUCUGCACAGACAUGUAUUUUCAUUUCUUUCAUAAAAUGGAGUGGAAGUGCUGGGUCAUAGAACUCUGUGUUUAACCAUUUGAAGAAGUGCCAGACUGUGUGAGAAAGCCUCUCCUCACCCUGCGAGACUGAGCUCCCUCUCUCCAUUCAUACAUUCCCUUCUUCACGCCCCUUGCUUCUAUUUCCGAGCAAUUCAGGUUGACCUGGGUCACCCGCAACUUAAUGCUCGUAACUCCUCUAGACCCUCAGGGUCCAUACUAAAUAUGAUGAAAGAUGAUGCAAGCCACAUAUUUACUUUUGCAUUUUGUAGUAACCACAUUUUAAAAAGUAAAACAAAAGAAGUGAAGGUAAUUGGAAUAAUAUCACAGAUUUAAACAAAUCUAUCCCAAAUACCAGGUCUACAUGUAUAAAAUAUUUUUAACAUGAACAAAAUACUUUGCAUUCUUUUUAUAUUAAGUCUUCACCAUCUAAUGUGUACUUGACGCUUCCCGCACAUCUCAGUUUGUGCUCGUCAUAUUUCAAAUGCUCAGUUGCCAUAUGUGGCCAAUGCUGCUUUACUGGACAGUACAGGGCUAAACUGUCCACUCCCUGAGGGCAGGAACCAUGCCUGCUUUUGCCCAUUACUUUACUCUCAGUGCCAGUACAGUGUCUAGGAUGCAAGAGGCAUCCUGUGAAUAUUUGCUGAACCUAAAUAAAUGAAUUCGCCCAAACCUCCACUUCUCCAAAAAUAGUUUCAAAAAUUCAGUGUUCAGCUGGGCACACUGAUUCACACCCAUAAUCCCAGCACUUUAGUAGGCCAGGGCAGGAGGAUAGCUUGAAGCCAGGAGUUCAAGACCAGCCUGAGCAACAUAAAGAGAUCCUGUCUCUACCAAAAAAAAAAUUAUUAAAUUAGCUGGGUGUGGGGGCACACAUCUGCAUUCCUACCCACGGAAGGCUGAGAUGGGAGGAUCACUGAGUCCAGGGGUUCAAGGUUACAGAGAACUAUGAUAGCACCACCCGACACCAGCCUGCGUAACACAGUGAGACCCUGUCUCAAAAAAAAAUCAGCAUUCACAUAUAUUCACCUAUUCUUUUUCAGCAAUUUAAAUUUGUUAAGAAAAAGAAACAAGGAACAGAGUGACCAACAGCCUGCAGAGCAACAUGCCCAAGUUUUAUUGUGACUACUGCAAUACAUACCCCGCCCAGGACUCUCCAUCUGUGAGACAGGCACAUCGCAGUGGCAGGAAACACAAAGAGAAUGUGGAAGACUGCUAUCAGAAAUGGAUGGAAGAGUAGGCUCAGAGCCUGACGGACAGAACAACAGCUGCACUGCAACAAGGAUACCUCCUACUCCAUUCUCUGCUCCUCCUCGUGCAGCGACGAAGAUACCACCUUCCCCCCAGUCUUCCAGGUCCUCCUAGCCCCGGUGUGGUGGCAGCACCCCAUAUGGAGGGCCCUCCCGUGAAGGCAAGGAUGGGCCCUCCUCCUCCUGGGAUGAUGCCAGUGGGACCUGCUCCUGGAAUGAGGCCCCCCAUGGGAAGCCACAUGCCCAUGAUGCCUAGGCCCCCAAUGAUGAGACCUCCUGCCUGUCCCAUGAUGGUGCCCACUCGGCCGGGAAUGACUUGACCAGACAGAUAA